GUGUUUCUUCUUUAGAAAAUGGUUAUCUAUGCCAUCCAUAAAGGCACCUGCCUUUUGUCCCAGCAUUCAGGAGGCAGAGGCAGGUGGAUCUCUGAGUUCAAGGUCUGCAGUCCAGGAUAUCCAGGACUACACACACACAAAAAAAAACUUUGUCUUGAAAAAACAACAAAACAAAACAAAAAUCAAAAAGAAGACGAGAAGAAGAAAACAGUUACUUGUGAAAUUUAAACUUCUGACUGUUGUUAGACUUAUGAGUAGGGAGGCAAGAAGACAAGGACGGAGCAUAGUGAAGCUACAUUUUGUACCAAUUUCUCAGUUAUUGCUUCAUGGUAAGGAAACAUAGAAUAACUCCUACAUUUUUUAAUUCACUUAGAUGUCCAUAUGGCCAAGUAAAGCGAUUAUGGUAAUAGCUUCCUGCAUAUUGGAAGAGAGUAAUAGUCUUGAGUGCUCACUGUGUUAUGUGGAUAAUAAAGGAAAGAACCUUCAUUGAAGCCUUGAAACAGGACUUGUUUGGGAAUCUGGCUUUCCACAAGUGUCAAUGGCUGGCUCUUUUCCUCUUGUUCGUAUUCAUGCAGAAGAAAAAAGCAGGAUGUUGGAGGAGGAUUUGUUGACUGACAAUGGUCACUACAGGACAGAGCAGGACUGCAGAUAGUAGACAGCUUUCUCCCAAGCAGCAACUGUUGAGCAUUGCCAAGCAGCUGGGAAUGAUGGCAGAACUGACUUUGGUUAGAUGGCCUUGAGGACCUCAAGGGUGCUGACACAGCCCUACUUACCUACUCCCCACAUCUCUGUGGGGUCCCUUAAAUGCUGGUAUCCCCUUUCCUUUGUGUUAGGAUCCUAGGACCUUUAUGCAUGGACUUCCAUUUCUAUGAGAUUUUGAGAAAACAGCAGAAAAGCAAUGCACACAGCUAAGUCAGUUGCCAUUCAAGAAUUUGUUUCCAGCUCCCAGGUAUUGCUGGUGUUUCCCCCUUCUUUUUUGACCAUGCUUAUAAUUUCAUGUGUGUGCAAAAGCACACACUCAUCCCUCCAUAUUUUGGGGGAAUGGUUACAGGACCACUCCCCCAGAUACCCAAACCCAAGAAGGCAUAAGCCUUUUUAUAAAAUGGCAUAUAAAUUUGUGUGUGUGUGUGUGUGUGUGUGUGUGUGAACAUGCACACUCAUGUAUAUCCUCCCAUAGACUUUAAGUUAGCUCUAGACUCCUUGCAAUAUCCAAUACAAUGUAAUUACUGUGUAACUGAUUGCUGUAG
rnacentral:lncRNA from 1 species